rnacentral:tRNA from 1 species
AGCCGAUUAGCUCAGCGGAAAGAGAGCGGCUGUCUUCUAAACAGCAGGUCGUCGGUUCGAGUCCGACAUCGGCUA